rnacentral:rRNA from 1 species
CUGACCUCAAAUCAAGUAGGA